rnacentral:lncRNA from 10 species
UAGAGUGUUAGAGGACAUGUCAGAACUCUGAGAUAGCUACUCAGGAAGUGUCAACAUUUCAAAGCCGUAUUCAUCAACACUAUCAUGCAAAGUAAACUCACAUUAACAGAUAUUGAAAAACAUUGAAACUUUUCAUAUUAUCUGAACUAAACAUUGUAGAAUGAAUAGAAGUACAAUUAUGAAAAGUUAAUUUUAAGGCCGGGCGCGGUGGCUC